CACACACGCACGCACUAAACACACUCUUUAUUCUUCUCAGGUGAUGUUUGGAUUUUUAACCUAGAAACUAAUCAUUGGAUGAAGAUGAAGCACAAGCACACACACAGGCCACGGCUGUGGCACACGGCGAGCGCAGGAGCAGACGCAGAUGUGGUUGUGUUUGGAGGAAGUGGUGAUAAUAUCCUGCUGAUGGACACGUGAUGUGCUGGUCUUUCAGACUCAGCCGCAUCCUCUGUCUCGGUUGUGUCAGGACUGCAUCUCUCUCCACAUCAGUGUGUCCCAGACUCUCCUCCUGCCGCUGAGACUGCGCCGCCGCCUGCAGAACAGAACACAGCGCACACCUGCACACACACCUGCACUGCAGUAACACAUCUGCACAUACACACACACACACACCUGCACUGAAGUAACACACCUUCAAACACACACACCUGCACUGAAGUAACACCUGCACACACCUGCACUGCAGUAACACACACCUGCACUGCACUAUGCUCUAGGAAAUUGAAGAUUUAGUCACUGCCGGUGAUCAGCUCACUGACUGCUGAGUGUGUGUGUGCGUGUGUGUGUGCGUGUGUGUGUGCGCGCGUGCGUGUGUGUGUGUAGAAAAAACUGAAUGAAAACAAUAAAAUGAUUAUGAUCAAUAUAAACUGCUCUCCAUCUGCUGCUGUUACACUCAGCUGUGUGUGUGUGUUCUGCAGUGUGUGUGUUCUGC